CACUAAGAAGCUAAACAGGAACAGCGUUAGCCCUUUAAGCUAAAGAUGGUGACUACCAACCACCCUUAGUGA
rnacentral:tRNA from 1 species